AGUCAUGCAGUUUUAAAACUCCUCCGUUUGUUUACCUGACAAGUGCCAACACAGUUUCGGAGGACUCUGAUGGAGAGGGUGCCAUGACAACGAGCGGUUCCCUUAACAACACGAGUUCCCACAGCAUCUGGAUGUGGAAGAACAUGGGCAAGAAACAUCUGAAACCAAUUUACAAGCACAGUAUUUUUAACAAAAUUCUUGCCUGGUACAAGGAAAGGAAAGGAAGAGUGAAUACGUAAAAAGAAAACAUGCAACUGAGAAUGUGACCUUGAGUCAUACCAUCUCAUGAAUCUAACACAUGCAAGUUCAUUGAGCCUUCUUGAAGGGAAAAAAUGCAGGGACGGCAAAGUUGUGGGGAUAAAGUGUCAGGAGAACUGUAAGCAGAGGACACACAAUGACAAGCUCCAGCUUUAGCCUGGCCACAAAAGGCAGUGGCCAGGCCACAAUGAGAUACUGGCCACAGACAGAAUUACUUCAUUGUGUGACAUUCACUAUGAUGAAAUAUUAACUGGGAUGACUCAGUGAUUAUGAACUAGAAGCAAGGGAGCCGUCCUUGCAGCAGUCAUAUUUGUUCUCCUUACAGACUCUAUCCAGAACUUAUCAGUCUUUGCGUACAUGGAUAUUAAAACCAGGGCUCAGACGGAGUCGACUUCACAACAUUCCUCACUUCUGGUGACUUUAUGGAUUAUACCAGGGCCAAGUUCAUCCAAGACCGCUUACAGAAGACAACUGAAUUUAGAUACAUUGCGCCUCUUGUUUGAAUUCAUUCACUAUGCCAGUUCAACCUUGGACAGUAGCACCUGUACAUUAGAACACAGAUUCAAAAGAACAAACAUUAACCUUGCUUUCCAAUUAUUGCUAAACUAUGACACUAGUUCUUGUGGAAAUAGAAGUAUUUUCUAAAUAUCUACUCCACAAACAAAAGCAUCAUUAUGAACACAGAAGUAUGAAAAAAUAUAUCCAAACCUACUUUUGCAAAAUAUUCACCAUCUCUCAAGUAUCAUUAAAGGGGAUUUACAAGAAAUAA